AAUGUGUUUAAAUUUAAUUGAGAAACCAAAAAUACAAUACUUAAAGGAACUCUGCCUAUGUUUUUCGUGCAUUAAUUAAGCUGAUGAGUUAGAUAAUGCUCAAGAGAGAAGAGAAAGGGUUACAAAAAAAUUUUAACAAUUAAUUUCUUGGCCAUUUGACAUUCUUUACUCAAUAACAAUAUUGUUUAAUGCCAAAAAUCCAAAAUCAGUGAAUAAAGAAAUAUUAAAAAAAACCAAAUUAAAAUGCCAAAAAAAAAAAAA